rnacentral:lncRNA from 1 species
AGCAAAUCAUGCAUCAUAAUCUUGUUUUCUCUAUUAAUAGUUACAAGGCACCGGUCAAGGAGGACCUUGAUUCCUGUUGUUGCAUAAAAGCCACAACCAUCCAAGAUUUGUAUGACAUCGUUCUUGUCCAUUCCGAUAAAAAAACAAGCUAUAUCGAGGAAUAUUCGCCUCUUGUAAUUAUCAUUUAGCUCGUUGUAGCUUAUUUUCAGUUGUGCCUGAAUUUCUCCACGAGGAAUUAUUUUCAAUUCAUCCAAUAUACUUCUCCAUUCAUCUACGCUUCGUUUGAAAAGAGUAGAUCCUAAAACUUCAAGAGCCAGCGACAAUCCUCCACAGUAAUUAACAACUUCUCUUUCGAGUGCAAGAUAUUGACUAGGACAACUACUACUUCUGAAAGCAUGCCAACUUAGGAGCUCAAGAGCUUCUUCUCGGUCCAUUACUUUCGCCCGAUAUAUCUUUUGAAUUGCAAAUUCUUUUAGCACACUUUCAUUUUUAGUUGUGAUGAUGAUUCUGCUCCCCGGGCCAAAAAGUGGCAAUUUCCAACUAAUUCACGUAAUUGCUUCACAUCGUCUACAUCAUCAACUAUGACAAGUACCUUUAAGCGUCGAAAUCUUUCCCUUACCAAGGCGGUCCCUGCAGCAACACUGCUUACCUUUGUCUUGGUUUGCAAGAUAUCAAAAAGAAGUUGUUUUUGCAAUUUUUCUAGCUUCUUUUCCCUCACUUUUUCAAGGAAACUUUUACCUUCAAAUCUUUCAUAAAAUUCGUUAUAAAUGGCUUUAGCAAUCGUUGUUUUACCUAUUCCACCCAUGCCCGAAAUUCCAAUCACACGAACAUCAUCUGAAUCUCCGAUGCCUAAAUAAUUACUAAUAUCUAGCACUCGAGUAUCUAUUCCGACUUGAUAGGGCGCUACGUCGAAGUAUUUGUUGUUCAACUUAGUAGUGACGUCAUUGGUAAUCAUCCUGAUAAACUUUGCUUCAUGCCUGGCAUUAGUCAAGUUGAGAAGCAAAACGAAGAUUGUUAUACAACGAAAUUGAACUAAUUAAUACACAAAAUUAUUUAUCAUGACUAGAGAUUUUAAUUAAGACAAUUUUUUUGAGGUGGUGUGUUUAAACUUAGCAAACAUCAAUUAAAAUUAAAAUAAGAAACACAAACAAAAAACCCAGCAUCCCUUCCGUCCGCAGCCAGUCGCCGGCAGCUUCCCAACUGUGAUUAGUGUAGCCUUAACAGUUUAAGCUUUAUUGUAUGAUUUUAUUACAGAGGUCUAAGAAAUCGCAUGAUUCCAAAUUAAUAAGCAAAGGUACAUUAAAGCCUUAAUUCAUAAGAAAAUAAAUUAGUAAGUACCCGUCGAAAGUGUUUCUGAGAUCCCAGCCAGGCAAAUUCGAAGCUUCAGUAAGAGCAGCUCUCCACCUCUCUACCUUUUUUCAUCUGUAUGUUUCAGAAACGAUUGUGCAAAACUACUAGUCUGUUUCCUGACAUGCGAAGGAUCAACGUCAUAGAAUAUCGGCAAAACUAAUUGCCCUAGCAUUCUUCUACACUCCAUGAUCUUUACCAGCUCCUCGAGACACCAGCUGGAGUCCGAGUACCGUCUUGAGAAGACGAUGAUAGAGAUCCUAGAACCCUGGAUUGCCUGCACAAGUUCGGUAGUUAUAUCUUCUCCUCUUCUUAGUUCGUCGUCAAUAAAGGCGUUGAUUCCGGCCUUUGUCAAUGCUUCGUGGAGGUGGCCCGUGAAGUUUUUACGUGUGUCUUCACCUCUGAAGCUUAUGAACACUUCGUAGAGCGAACCUUUUGAGAAGGAGGACAAGGACGGGGAGGCGGAGGAGGACGAUGAGGAUGAGAUUGAGGGUGAGGAGGUGGAGGAGGACGAUAAGGAUGAGGGCGAGGACGAGGUUUUAUCGGGGACGGAGAUAUUCAUUUGGCGAAAGACGAGGCCGAGGGAGCAGAGGAGGAAGAUGAGGACAUCAAAAACAAGACCGGAAUUGCGAUGUGCAUAGUGGUAGGACAGUAACACCAGCACCAUAAUUAACAGCUUCCCUAAGCUCAACCAGUUAUCCAUUGCCUUCAAUUUCUUUAGGCAAAUUGAAGGUUUUUUGGCGAUAUUGAUUUUCAUUUUUUCUACCGGAACUACUUUCUUCUUCUUAUAAUUAAUCAACCCGCCUAGGCGGCGCAGUUGACUGUAGACUUGAGUAUUGGUAAAUUGACUUAUGGUCCUACACCCUAAAUUCUACGAGGUGCUCUUUUUCUUCCACUAUAAAGCCAAAUUAGACACGGUAAAUUGACUUGUGGUCCUACACCCUAAAUUCCAGGAGGCACCCUUUUUUUCCACCUUAUCGCCAAAUUCUACGCAGUGUUUUCUGGUUCACACAAUGAUGAGAUACUUUUCAGUUUAUAGGAACACAGUCCAGUACACUGUACACCACUUAUAAAACAACUUCAAGAGGGCUAGUUUGAAAAUAUCCUACCGCGAAAUUUGAUUUGGUUUGGACCAAAUUUUGAUUUAGAUGAAAACUAGUAACAGUGCCUGCGCGUUGCUGCGGAUGUUUAAAAUGUUUUGAUAAUAUAUAAAUAUAGAAAACAUAAUUUAUUAAAGCUAGAUUUCUAUACCUAAGAUAAAGGUUGACAGUUUUCAUAAUUAUCAAAAGUUGGCAGUGUCCAAUUGCUCACUGUUCAAAAGAUAGAGAUGCUAUAAAAGCUUAUUUCAUCUACAUAAGUUCAUAGUAUCAUGUACUCAAAAUAAUCAUAGUAUCAAAAGAUUGGCAGUUUUCAACUGCUCAUCGUUCAAAUACGAAAAUAUACAUAUGUCCAUAUCAAAAGGUUGGCUCCGCACAUCUGCUGUGUUUAUGAUUUUUCCUGUUCAAUCUCUGGUCUUGCUUGUUUGGGAAUGGCCACCCUUUUUCUUGGCCACCAUGCUGUUGAAUUGGUGCCUAUUCUUUUUUGCUUUGCCCAUUAUUUUUCUCUUGAUAUAUAUUACGAAUUGGAAUCAGUAAGAAUUCCAUAUAAAAAACUAAAUUUGUCAAUCUAUUUAACUUAGUGCGAACUUCGUCAAACAACCAAGUAUAAUCCAGCAAGGUUAUUUUCUCUUUUUUUUUUUUUGAUCAAAAUGAAUUCUACUGUUCCCAUCUAUUUGCACAUCCCUUUAAAUUAUCGAAAACACAAAAGAAAUAUAUCUUGAUCCAUACCAAUUAAUGAUUUCCCAUUUACUCAAGUCAAACGUCAAAGCCAAUGAAUUGAUGAAGGAGCUAAAAAAGAGGGACAAAAAAAAAUCUCUAUUAUUCAAUUAUAUGGAGAUUUACCUGAUUGUACAAAAGGUUUGAAAAUUACCGUAAAAUUUGAAAAGAGAGAUGAGAUGGAGUGGAAAUCACAUACCAGCAUCAGGCUUAAAUUUGUAGUGCUCAUCUGAGAGAGCAGUGAUAGUGUUGAUGAGAGUGUAGGGAGAGAAACAAAAUGCAAAUCGUACGAGUUUGAGAGAAACUGCUUGAGGGACACUGCAGAUUGAUCGUUGAGAUUUGAGAAACCGAGGAAGCUGCAAUUUGAGACGAACUACUUUGCAUCAAACGUGGGGGAGUUUCUCUCCUCCACGUUUGAAUAGAAGAGGUAGUUUCAGAGUUGUCUGCAAUUAGUCCUAUCAGGAGCUUCUGCACUGGUUGAUGUCUCGGUCUUUUCCUUAGUCGCAUGUGCAUUGUAGACUUGGGUAGAUGAAAAGUAGAAAGGAAAUAAAAAUAUAAAGUCAAAGUUACCACUUAACUAUCUAUGUUGAUUCAUGUCCCACGCAUAAUAAGAAUAGUGAAUCAUUUUUCAUCUCGUGCACUGGUUUGUCAUUGUCAUUCGAAUUCACAAAUCCAUUUACUCCGAAUUUCUUAGUUAUCACCAGGGAAAGAAUGUAAUAAGCAAAAAUCUAUUUCUAGGUUGUCCCACUAAACUACCUGUUAAACCAUGGUAAAUCAAAACGGGAAAAAAAUUAUAAUACCUUUGUCAAACCUCUUGGGAUUCAAGUCCACCGACUCCACCCCAAUACUCAGUGGCGCCCCAGAAAUCUUGCACGUUCAGUAGCCAAGAUCAUGCAUGUAUCAGUAUGAAUAUGGAAGAGAAAAUAAAUGCAAUUUAUUAGAAUAAAGAAUAUGGGAUCAACAAAGUUUGUCCAAACUUACAGUGAGGCUAAUAAACAACAACUAAAGAUAAUUUUUCGUUUUGCUACAUGAGAGGGGCAUCCAAAAAUCCAAACCUGUCGAUACGGCACAACUGAGGAUGCAAACUUUAUCCAACUAAGCAAGGGGCUUGAUCUUGGAAAGACGGCCAGAAUGAACAACAAUGUAUUCACUUUAGUAAAAGUGCCAAGACAGUGAUUGGUGAACGUUAUUUCCCAGCUGGGUUAGUUUGGCUAUUCCUUUCUAUUGAAAAGGAGUCAGUUGUGCAUGAGUCACCACAUUUUGCUUCAUGGCGAAAAAUUUGAGGGAUCAAUAGUGUAUGGCCCUGAAUCCCAAAAGGAAAAAAUAACUCAACUAAGUAUAUAUAAUAUUAAACAUAUAAAGGGUAAGAUCAACCACAUCCCAUAGGAGAACAAUUAAACGCCACUCUCUCAGUUUCGAGUACAACUGCACUUUGUGAUUAAAAUUCACACAUGUUUCACAUAUGCUAAGAAGUAAUGUUCCUGUAGGUUUUUCAUCAUGAACGACAUUUGCAAUCUACUUUUCGAUUUCAAACCUUAAUUAUUCAUUGCCCAUUAAGAAAUGACUAUAUUGCCCGGAAACUCUACUCAUAGUUUAUAAAUCUGCAAUUUUCAAAGCUUAACCUUAAACAUUUAUCAUGCUGAAAAAAAUACUUAAGCAUCUUAAUUGGAUUCCCUACAAUUUGGUGGAGGUUGAAUGGAUUUUUCCUCCCAUUAUACCCCCGGAAAAUAUAAAUAAUCAUUGGAGACCGAGCAACACACACUCAUAAAUAAAAGAUUAGGAACCUUUGGUUCAGGAUAAACAUAAUGCAUACAGAAGAAUAAAAUUGCCAGAAAACAGAUCGAUGCACAGAGAGAUAGAGGCAUAAAGAGAGAACUUACAUCAGCUGUGCUCUCAAAUACAUAUGGUAAUCUGCAUACGAAGAAACAUAAUACUGAAACAGUUAUAAAUCAUCCUAUUCAAACAAAUCAAACGAAAUGCAUAAAGAUUACCUUAGUUUUUGAUUCUAUGAUUUUGUAUUUGACUCCACCUCCACGUUGUUCUUUGGUUGUCUCUUUUACUGAAUUAAGUAAUCGACUGAAUUACUUAAUUCAACUGAAUUUAAUCAGAGAGAUGAAAGCUUCUGUAUAAAAAAAUAUUUUAUGCUCUACACGCGUAGCAAAUCAUCAGUAACCUCCAAGAACCUAAUUGUACGAUAAACACUCUAGCAUUAACUACCCAAGAAUUAUAAUCAUGCUUAUUGCCAAAAAUGAUAAACAUGUUUACCUUGACUUCAUUUUUAAUGGCAUAUGUAAUAUACUUUCCAUCUGCAUUAAAAUAACCUUCUUCCCUCUGCUCGUUAAUCAAGUUGAAAGGUUCUGUUUGAAUCCCAUCCACAACAAAGUCCUUGUAAUCCUGCCAAAAGAUACCACCAAUCACUGGCUAUCGCUUCCGUUGAUCCAAUUAGCAGAAGUAUCCAACAAUUUCCUCGACUGAAAAAAAUCUUGCCAAUUUAGAAAAGAACUAUUCCAAAUUACGGAUGUACUCGAUUAAUUUAACCAAGAAUAUGCACGGCACCACCACUAUUAAGAAACAUCAUCAUACAAAGACAAAAGUUUUUACCAUCAGUUUUUAAAUUGCAACCAAAACAUGCAUAGAAAGAAUAAAAAUGACAACAAAGAUGGCAAAACAAUUAACCACACAUGUUGUUUAUCCAAAAAUGCUGAGAGCUUAUGCUUCUGUGACACAACAAGCUUCCUGCGUCACAUACACUAGAUCAAGUAGGCGUCAUGACAUAAAUUGAAAAGCAGACAAGAUCAAGAAGAUCCAAAAUUAUUGACAUAUAAUUAUAGUAAAUAAUUGCACAUGAAAAACUCUAGAGGAAGAUAGAUGAAUCUCCAUAUCAAGAAACCAAAGAACAUGACACUACUAAGGACUGUUGCUUCACAUGCAUAUCUGCUACUAUUUUAAACAAUUAUGUUAUAACAAGUAUAACUCCGCCGUGUAAGUUUAUCUUACAUUGCCGGUCCCAAGCCCGGAUAAAGGAGGAGGGGGAGGGCGUCAGGUAGUCGACAGCCGGCACUCCAUGAUUACGUCGAAUCCUUAUGAAAAUGAAUCCAGAACGAAAUCGCGCUAAAGCUAGGGCGUCACCCGUAAGUGGCACGCUGUGUGGCCCGAGCACAGUGAUAAGUGAGCAAGGGUCACUGUAUCUCCAUCGGCACCCGGAUGCAGUGUUAAAUGAGCAAGGGGGCUAUAGAAACUUCUUUUCGAACGACUCCACUCAAAGUUGUUUGGGAGCAUAUGCUCCUAUCAACUUUACACGGGAGACACAAAAGAAGUACUUUGAUCCUAUUAGACGGGGAAGGGUGAAGAAGCUAGGACAGAAGGGUAGAGUUCAAGAGAGCAAAAUGCGUUUAGGAACGUGGAAUAUAGGAACCUUGACGGGAAAAUCUAUGGAAGUAGUAGAAGUUAUGGUGAGGAGAAGGAUAAAUAUUAUGUGCCUACAAGAAACUAAGUGGGUUGGUCGUAAGGCAAAGGAUCUAGAAAACUCAGGGUUUAAACUAUGGUAUUCGGGCACAAAUAGAACGAGAAACGGUGUUGGCAUCAUCGUGGACAAGACCUUGACACAAGAUGUUGUAGAUGUCAAGAGGGUAGGAGAUAGAAUCAUGGCAAUCAAGAUUGUAAAUAGGACAAGAACUUAUCAAUGUGAUUAGUGCGUACGCACCUCAAGUAGGGUUGGAUACGAGUUCGAAGGAGAAAUUUUGGGAAGACCUUGGAGACUUGGUGCAAGGAAUUGCUCAGACGGAGAAGUUAUUUAUAGGAGGAGAUUUAAAUGGACACGUGGGCAGGGAGACAGGCAACUAUGGAGGUUUUCAUGGUGGCCAUGGUUUUGGGGAGAGAAACGAGGAUGGGGAAGCUAUCUUGGAUUUUGCAAUGGCAUAUGAUCUCUUCUUAGCCAACACCUUCUUUAAGAAGAGAGAAGAACAUGUGAUCACCUACAAGAGUGGGUCGUCAAAAACACAAAUAGAUUUUCUUCUAAUGAGGAAAGGGGAUCGUAUAACUUGUAAGGAUUGCAAAGUUAUACCAGGAGAGAGCGUGGCUAAUCAACAUCGCUUGUUGGUGAUGGAUGUACAUAUCAAAAGAGUGAGAAAAAAGAACAAGACUUGGAAGUGCCCAAGGACUAGAUGGUGGAAUCUAAAAGAAGAAAAACAAGCCAUUUUCAAAGAGAAAGUAAUCACCCAGUAUGUGUGGGAUAGAGAGGGGGAAGCUAACCAAAUGUGGGAUUCCAUGGCUAGUUGUAUCCGAAAAGUAGCAAAAGAGGUAUUAGGAGAGUCCAAGGGUUUUGCCCCACACCAAAAGGAAUCUUGGUGGUAGAAUGAGGAGGUACAAACAAAGGUGAAGGCUAAGAAGGAAUGUUGUAAAGCCUUCUACAAGGAUAGGACCGAUGAAAAUGGUGAAAGGUAUAGAAAAGCGAAGCAUGAGGCGAAGAAAGCUGUGAGAGAAGCUAAGUUAGUGGCUUAUGACGAUAUGUAUAAGCGACUAGAUACCAAAGAAGGAGAGUUGGAUAUCUAUAAACUAGCUAGAGUAAGGGAAAAGAAGACAAGGGACCUAAACCAAGUGAGGUGCAUCAAGGAUGAGGAUGGAAAUGUUCUUGCUACAGAGAACGCGGUUAAAGACAGAUGGAAAGGUUAUUUUCAUAAUCUUUUCAAUGAAGGACAUGAAAGGAGUGCUUCUUUAGGGGAGUUGAGUAACUCAGAAGAGUGUAGAAACUACUCUUUUUAUCGUAGAAUCCGGAAGGAAGAAGUGGUUGUUGCUUUGAAGAAGAUGAAGCAUAGAAAAGCAGUAGGCCCAGACGAUAUACCAAUCGAAGUGUGGAAAGUUUUGGGAGAGACAGGUAUAACAUGGCUCACUGACCUUUUCAAUAGGAUUUUGAAAACGAAGAAGAUGCCAAAUGAGUGGCGAACGAGCACUUUGGUGCCUAUCUACAAGAAUAAGGGUGAUGUACAAAAUUGCAUGAACUAUAGGGGUAUUAAGCUAAUGAGUCAUACAAUGAAGCUCUGGGAGAGAGUCAUUGAGCAUAGAUUGAGGCAAGAGACACGGGUUUCGGACAACCAAUUCGGGUUCAUGCCAGGGCGCUCAACCAUGGAGGCAAUCUAUCUCUUACGAAGAUUGAUGGAAAGAUAUAGAGAUGGGAAAAAUGAUUUACACAUGGUCUUUAUAGAUUUGGAAAAUGCGUAUGAUAGGGUCCCAAGAGACAUUCUUUGGAGGAUUUUAGAGAAGAAAGGAGUACGAGUAGCAUAUAUCCAAGCUAUACAGGAUAUGUAUGAAGGAGCAAAAACUGCCGUAAGAACUCAUGAAGGACAAACCGAAAGCUUUCCCAUAACUGUAGGAUUACAUCAAGGCUCAUCAUUAAGUCCUUACCUUUUUGCGUUGGUAAUGGAUGAGUUAACAGGACAUAUUCAAGAUGAUAUUCCUUGGUGUAUGCUUUUCGCAGACGAUAUAGUGUUGAUAGAUGAAACUCAGGAAGGGGUAAAUGCAAAGCUUAACCUUUGGAGAGAAGUGUUGGAAUCUAAAGGUCUUCGCCUAAACCGAUCAAAGACAAAAUAUAUGGAGUGCAAGUUCAGUGCAAAUGGAGGCCAAAACGAGUUAGGGGUGAGGAUCGGAGAUCAAGAAAUACCAAAGAGCGACCGUUUUUGUUACCUAGGAUCUAUCUUGCAAAAGAACGGAGAAUUAGACGGAGAUCUCAACCAUAGAAUACAAGCUGGAUGGAUGAAGUGGAAGAGUGCAUCCGGCGUGUUGUGUGACCGCCGUAUGCCACUGAAGCUCAAGGGAAAAUUUUAUAGGACGGCAAUAAGGCCGGCGAUGCUGUAUGGCACAGAAUGUUGGGCGGUGAAGCAUCAACACGUACACAAAAUGGGUGUAGCGGAGAUGAGGAUGCUUCAUUGGAUGUGUGGGCACACAAGAAAGGAUAAGAUUAGGAAUGAGAAUAUCCGGGGUAAAGUAGGAGUAGCCGAAAUUGAAGGAAAGAUGAGAGAAAAUCGGUUACGGUGGUUUGGACAUGUGCAAAGAAGGCCUACUGACGCUCCAAUUAGAAGAUGCGACUAUGGGACAGAGGUUCAGGGCCGAAGGGGUAGAGGAAGACCUAGGAAAACUUUGGAAGACCCUAAGAAAAGACUUAGAGUACUUGGAUCUAAUGGAGGACAUGACACAGGACAUAACACAAUGGCGUUCUAAGAUUCAUAUAGCCGAUCCCACUCAGUGACUUGGAUUUUCCAAGUCUCCAACCGAGAAGUUUUCCUCACUCGGGAAAUUAAGGGAACACUACCUCAACCUACAUGCUCCAUUCACAAAGCUUCAACAUACAAGCUUCAACAAAAGAAAAUUCAAAGAACUUAGCGAAGAAGGCUUUGGUGUAUUUAACACAAUACGUUGAAAUGAAGGAAAACUUAUUUAUUGAUAUCCCCGAUAAGUUACAAAUAUGUACAUAUACUUGAGUCAAAAUAAACAAACAAGAGGGAGCCUUCACAAAGGUUGCUUAGGAGAAGUCUCAGCAGUCGGCAGAGCCCCAGAAAAAGAAGGCACCGGAGGUGGAUCAUUCGGAGCCUCAGUACUGGACAGAACCCUAGAAGGAUGAGGCAUCAGAGGUUGAUCAUUUGGAGUUUUAUUACGCGGUACAGCCCCAGAAGACGAAGGCAAUAAAUGCCUUUGGAACAAACCCACAAAUCUCUGAUGAUCAAGUAAAACCUGACCAUCAGAUUCCUUCAUUUGGUCAAGCUUCCUCUUCAUGUUUGUAGCAUAGUCAUGUGCGAGCCGGUGCAACUGUUUAUUCUCAUGCUUGAGCCCUCUAAUCUCCUGUUUGAGACUCAUCACUUCAGCCGCCAAUGAUUCAACCUGGCGGGUUCAAGCAAAUAGGCGUUGGGCCAUAUUAGAUACAGAACCUGCACACUGAACACUGAGAGCCAGAGAAUCCUUAACAGCCAACUCAUCAGACCGUUUGGAAAGUAGUCUGUUAUCUUUGGGAGUGAGAAGGUUCCUGGCCACUACCGCAGCGGACAUAUCAUUCUUCAUCACGGAAUCCCUAACGGUAAGAGGACCAGUAGGGGAGACGAAGGAUGGGCGCCAUAUAUUGUCUGGUGAAGGCGGGGCUGCCUCUUAAAAAAGGUUCAAGUCAAAACGACGGUCGGAGGGGCCAGACAUUUUCAAAGGUGUUGAAGAGAGAAGAGUUCGGACAAAUCAAGAUCUUAGAAGUGCAAGAAUGGAGCUUCUACUGGUGGAUAUUCAAGUGUGCUUUGGAACUUAAUGUCAGCCCCUAUAAAAAUUUGCACUCGACGAAGCUUCAGAAAUCGAAGAGGCGCCUGCUCAGAAAUCGAAGAGGUGUUUGCUUUCUCAAAAGCUGGGCUGCUCAGAGACCACGAGGGUCGAUCUCAGAAAUCGAAGAGGCGUUUGCUUUCUCAAAAGCUGGGCUGCUCAAAGACCACGAAGACCGAUCUCAGAAAUCGAAGAGGCUUGCUUUCUCAAAAGUUGGGCUGCUCAGAGACCACGAGGGUCGAUCUCAGAAAUCGAAGAGGCACCUACUUUUCCAGCCUUGUCAGCACCUGUCACACGCACACUCAGCUUUGCGGAAAUUAUGGGCAUUCUGUCGAAGAUUUCUGGCGAAGUAGAAAGCACAUGAAUCGUACUGUUCAAUCACCCACUUCUCACACGCAACAGUAGCUCAUGGGUACCACAGAUAACUUUGCCAAAGUUCUCUGACAAAGUUGAGACACGUGAAGCUUGCAGCUCCCACUACAUCGCUCUGACCAAGAAGGGUAAAAGAAUAGCAAAGAAACAACACUAACAAAGUUUACACAUAAAUUUUGAAGGUCUAGCUACCAUAUUAUUACCCACAAGGGUAAAGGAACAGUACCACUGCUGGAUAAUUGGAAAGUCCCGAUGUGUCAACCUCUGUGCUUCGUGGCAAGGUAGACUAGCAAACUUGCCCAACCUUUACUCACAUUCGAGAAAACACUCCCAACAAGAUUGCUUGCUCCAAAAUCGAAGAGGCACCGCCCUCCGAAUCUCAAGAGCCAGACUCCCAACAUGAUUACUUUCUCAAAAAUCGAAGAAAGGGUAAAGGAACAGUACCACUGCUGGAUAAUUGGAAAGUCCUUGUGUGUCAACCUCUGUGCUUCGUGGCAAGGUAGACUAGCAAACAUGCCCAACCUUUACUCACAUUCGAGAAAAUACUCCCAACAAGAUUGCUUGCUCCAAAAUCGAAGAGGCACCGCCCUCCGAAUCUUGAGAGCUAGACUCCCAACAUGAUUACUUUCUCAAAAAUCGAAGAGAGGGUAAAGGAACAGUACCACUGCUGGAUAAUUGGAAAGUCCCUGUGUGUCAACCUCUGUGCUUCGUGGCAAGGUAGACUAGCAAACAUGCCCAACCUUUACUCACAUUCGAGAAAACACUCCCAACAAGAUUGCUUGCUCCAAAAUCGAAGAGGCACCGCCCUCCGAAUCUCGAGAGCCAAACUCCCAACAUGAUUACUUUCUCAAAAAUCGAAGAGACACCGCUUUUCGAAUCCCGAGAGCCAGACCCCCAGCAGGAUUGCUUUCUCAAAAAUCGAAGAGGCAUCGUUCUCCGAAUCUCGAGAGCCAGAUCCCCGACAGGAUUGCUUGUUCGAAAACCGAAGAGGCACCACUUUCCCAACUUCAAGAGCUGGAUCUCCUUGGAUAAAGCUUGUCUGUAAUCUUCACAUGCAACAUCAGCUUUCCAGAUACCACAGACCACUUUUUCAAAACGCUCUGACAUAGUUAAAACAUGUGAAGCUUGCAGCUCCCACUACCGUGCUAUGACCAAGCAGGGUAAAGGAAUAGCAUUAUUACUUGAUGUUAAGGAGACUCCUAUAUAUGUCGACCUUCAUCCCCAACGGACAGGCAGACCUGCAAAAAUGCUCAACCCUCCCUCUUAUCUGAGAGGGCACUCCCAACGAAGCCUUUCGAAAUAUUCAGCUUUCUUUCCCCCCCCCCGAUAAUACCUCUGUAAACAAGCUAUACUAGAGCAAGAAUAUCUCAUAUCAUCAGGGUUAAAAGCAAGAGUAUCCCAUAUCAUGCUUUUUCCCUGUCUUUUCCUUUGGCCUUGUUCUUACCUGCAAGACAAGGAGAAAGAGAGCAAUCAGUCAGCACUUGGAAUCAAGCUUCCAGCCAGGAACUGACUGCCUGGAACCCCUUACCUGAUUACUUACCUGGCAUUGCUUUCGAGUUCUCAUCUUCAACAUCUUAUGCUUCCAGGGAAGAUACCGCAUCUGCCUGAGGAACAGAUAGGGCAAGUGAGAAGGAUACAAGGAAGCAUGUGGAGACAAGCGUAACAGCACACGUGCCGAUACAUCCACUACUCUGUCGAAAGCAAAAGUAUCCCAUAUCAGCAGGGUCGAACGUACUCUAGAUUUGAUGGACUUGUUUUGACCCUCAAAUUCUUCAGUCGACCUUAUACUCUGGAGGAAACUAGAAAACCCUCCAGCCCAGUUCAAGAAUAAGCCUGUGGAAAGUUACUUCUUCAAAAGCAAAAGUAUCCCAUAUCAUCUCUUCUCAUUUUUCUUCUCUUUAUCCUUCAUACUGCCUGCAAGAUAGGGAGAAUGUGAACAAUCAGCAGGAGCUUUGAUUGCUUACCUUGUCUGUCACUUUCAGCAGAUCCCCUAGCUCGGCGACUUGGGGGACUCUUACUACAUGGUUUGUAUCGCGCUUGACCAAGCCUGAAACUACAAGUAAGCUUCAAGUGAAAUUGAUACAUUACCUUGUGCAUCUCCACCAGUUACAGAUAUCACCCCUGGAUGGAGGAAGAGUACUUCCAGAGAAGAUGCCACAUCUACCUAUGAGACAGAUAAGGCAAGUCAAGACGAUACCACACUCCGGUACUUAGAAGUUUCGUGGUUACGAGAUAAUUCUCCCACAAUAUUUCCUAAUGUCAUUUGUACUAAAUCAUUCACUUGUACUCACUAAAGGAGAGCUUGAACCUAUGUACUUGUGUAAACCCUUCACAAUUAAUGAGAACUCCUCUAUUCCGUGGACGUAGCCAAUCUGGGUGAACCACGUACAUCUUGUGUUUGCUUUCCUAUCUCUAUCCAUUUAUAUACUUAUCCACACUAAUGACCGGAGCAAUCUAGCGAAGAUCACAAAAAGUGACCGUUUUCGCUACCUAGGAUCUAUCUUGCAAGAGAACGGAGAAUUAUAUGGAGAUCUCAACCAUAGAAUACAAGUUGGAUGGAUGAAGUGUAAGAGUGCAUCCGGCGUGUUGUGUGACCGUCGUAGGCCACUGAAGCUUAAGGGAAAAUUUUAUAGGACGGAAAUAAGGUCAGCGAUGUUGUAUGGCACAGAAUGUUGGGCGGUGAAGCAUCAACAUGUACACAAAAUAGGUGUAGCGGAGAUGAGGAUGCUUCGUGAGAUGUAUGGGCACACGAGAAAGGAUAAGAUUGGGAAUGAUGAUAUCCGAGGUAAAGUAGGAGUAGCCAAAAUUGAAGGAAAUAUGAGAGAAAAUCGGUUCCGGUGGUUUGGACAUGUGCAAAGAAGGCCUACUGACGCUCCGGUUCGAAAAUGUGACUACGGGACAGAGGUUCAGGGCCGAAGGGGUAAAGGAAGACCUAGGAAAACUUUGGAAGAGACCCUAAGAAAAUACUUGAGUACUUGGAUCUAACGGAGGACAUGACACAAAACCGAGCGCAAUAGCGUUCUAGGAUUCAUAUAGCCGACCCCACUUAGUGGGAAAAGGCUUUGUUGUUGUUGUUGUUGUUGAUGUUAUAACAAGUAUAAGAGAGAGGAAAAAUCACUACUGAACCGAAAAUGAAAAAGGGGGAAAACCUGGAAUGCCAUGCAGUGCCGAAAUCACUACUUAGCAACAAAAGUGCCCUGCUAUGCUUCAUGACGUCACUUUCAAAACUAUUAUCCAAAGAUAAUGACACAUACAAAGACUUCUCAUCCCCAGAUACAUCUGAUUUGCUGUUAAGUGCCUUAUAUUGUCUACUUCCUGCCAUAAACGCAUGCUUAGCAGCCUCAUAUAACGGAAAAAGAACUUGUGUUGAAAUCCCCAACUUAUGAUCCCUAUUCCAAAAAACUGAGUUGCCAUCAACUGAGCGCAGCACAGUACUGUCAUCAGAUGAGGGUGAGGAAUGGCCUGCCUCUUUAUUCAGCUUGGAAAACUGGGACGGGUGAAGAAAUCCCACUUCAUCUCUGGGUUCAAUCAAGAGGAAAGAACAAUGUUUAAGACAAUGACAUUACUACAUAUUCCAAAAACACAACUGAGAAUCCUUCCAAAAUUAAAAAAAAAAAGAACACCUCUAAACAAAAUCAUAACGCACCCACAAUUACACACACACACAAUUCAAAAACUUUCAGCAUAAGAAUAAGGCAUACUUGGACCGUUAUCGAAAUCCCAGACUCAGUAACAGUAAUGAACUUACACUGAAUCAACAUUUUGAAUUUGAACUAACACUGAAUGGACAUUUUCCAAAAAAUAUGAAAUCCAAGUAAAAUCAAGCUGUUACUUUUACAUAUGCAUGGAUCAACUCAUGCGGGAUCAAAUAUCUGUACUUUUCGACACGGAAAUUACACUUUGUGAAGGUACACCAACCAAGCACGAAUAAAACCUAUAUAUACAAAACUCUAUGGGGCAUUUCAUCGAACACAAAGUCUGCGUCUUUACUGAAAACAGAGAAGUUAAACCUGCAAUCACUCAUUAUCUACUAACAUACAAGUACGAAUUACUUACAUUUGGGGAUCGGAUUCCAAGAUACAUUCGAAUUGAUUCAGAAGAUCGACCGUGUCUGCUUCGGAACAACGCAGCUCCUCUCCUUCCAUAUUUUCUGUUUGUUUCCCAAGAAAAUCCAAGGGAAAAGAAAUCUGAGGAAAAAUGACAGCUUUAUACGAUGUUGGAACAAAAUGGUAAAUUAAUUAAAAAAAAUAACUACGUGGAAGUUUUUUAUUCGUUGUUGCAAUAAGUUGCAGGAAAAAGUAAUGAUGCUGGCCGCAGAUGAACCAGUUUCGGGCCAAUGUCACACUAACACGUAUACACCUUCCUUCGACUUUUCUUUUCUUGUAUAAAAUUUUGGAGCUGCUAUGGCUAUUCUCUCUCUCUCUCUCUCUCUCUCUCUCUCUCUCUCUCUGAGUAGGCCUAGCAAACGGGUCGUGUCUGUCGUGUUCGUGUUGUUUUUGUGUAACACCUAUUAUCUUAACGGAUCGUAUCGUGUCACACCUGUUAUCUUAACAGGUCGGGUCACUUUACCCAACGGGUAAAAUGACCCAACCAGUUAUGACCUGUUAAGAAAAAUAUAUUUUUUUCUUAAAUUUGCACAUACCACACAUUGUCACUUAAAUAUUACUUCAAAACAUUAAAACACAUUUAUCGUUUUAGUACUACAUCUACACUUGAAAAUAAGAUCAUAAUAAAAAAAAGGGUAAAUUACAUAGUAGCCCCUCAGGUUUGAGGUCUAUUGCAAUCUUAUACAACAUCUUUAAAACAUUUCACUUUCAUACCUCAAGUACUAUUUUAUUUCAAUUUUAUACAACCGUUAGAUUUUCCAUCCAUUGAUCUGUUAAAUGCUGACGUGCCUGCCACAUAUAUGACACGUGGCUGCCAAAUGUCUGCCACGUGGCAAAUAAAAAUAAUUUUUUAAUUUAAAAAAAAAAACAUAUCUGCCACUUUUUUUUUCUCUUUUUCUUCUUCUUCUCUUUCUCUUUCUUCUUCUUCUGGGUUGGGACCCCUUUUUUUUUUUUUUUCCUUCUUCUUCUUCUUCCUCCUCAUCCUCUUUCUUCUUCUGUUCUUCUUCUUCCUCCUUCUUCUUAUGGGUUCCGUCCCUUUUUUUUUUUUUCCUCUUUCUUCUUCUUCUUCUCUUUCUCUUUCUUUUUCUUCUGGGUUCGGACCCUUUUUUUUUUCUUUUUUUUUUCUUCUUCUUCUUCUUCUCCCUCCUCCUCCUCUUUCUUCUUCCCUUCUUCUUCUUCCUUCUUCUUCUUCUGGGUUCGGUCCCUUUCUUUUUUUUUUUUUUUUUCUUUUCUUCUUCUUCUUCUUCUUCCUCAUCCUCCUCCUCUUUCUUCUUCUCUUCUUCUUUUUCCUCCUUCUUUUUCUGGGUUCGGUCCCCUUUUUUUUUUUCUUCUUCUUCUUCUUCUUCUUCCUCCUCCUCCUCCUCCUCUUUCUUCUUCUUCCUUCUUCUUCUGGGUUCGGACCCCUUUCUUUUUUUUUCUUUUUUUUUCUUCUUCUUCUUUCUCCUCCCUCCUCUUUCUUCUUCUCUUCUUCUUCUUCCUCCUUCUUCUGGGUUCGGUCCCUUUCUUUUUCUUCUUCUUCUUCUUCCUCAUCCUCCUCCUCUUUCUUCUUCUCUUCUUCUUCUUCCUCCUUUUUCUGGGUUCGGUCCCUUUUUUUUUUUCUUCUUCUUCUUCCUCCUCCUCCUCCUCCUCUUUCUUCUUCUUCCUCCUUCUUCUGGGUUCGGACCCUUUUUUUUUUUUUUUUUUCUUCUUCUUCUUCCUCCUCCUCCUCCUCUUUCUUCUUCUUCCUCCUUCUUCUAGGUUCUGUCUUUUUUUUUUCUUCUUCUUCUUCCAAUUUCAGGUUUUUAAAAAAUAAAAAAAAAUUAUUUUAUUUGCCACGUGGCAGACAUUUGGCAGCCACGUGUCAUAUAUGUGGCAGCCACGUCAGCAUUACAGAUCCAUGGAUGGAAAAUCUAACGGUUGUAUGAAAUUGAAAUAAAAUAGUACUUGAGGUAUGAAAGUGAAAUGUUUUAAAGAUGUUGUAUAAGAUUGCAAUAGACCUCAAACCUGAGGGGCUACUAUGUAAUUUACCCUAAAAAAAACAAUCAAACACUACUAGUCUAUUACAAAAUAUUAAAUGUGCAAGGAUAUGCAAAAUGAAAGAGUUUUUGUUUUCAAGGUUGUGAAGCAUUUCAUUAAGUAUAACAUAAGAUUUUGUGGUAUCCACCAGUGAAAAUAUUUUAAAUUGAAUAUCGAGUUCAUUCAUUGUAUUCAUAUAGGGUCAAUGAGUGUAGCUGUAAAAAAAUCAUCAAAAUCGGAGUUAAAUUAACCGUUAAAUCAUGAUUUUGCGUUGACAAUCGUCGAAAAGUUUUGUCCUGUUACUUGAUCAUUGAAUGUUUGCUUUUUGCAAUUUUUGGCGUGUGCGAUCUCGAAGCAUAUACAAACAAGUUUGACGGUUGGAUCGUUGAAAUUAGUUUCAUAGAAUGCGUAUCUCAUCAAAACGAUAGAUUCACGAACACAUAGAGUUUUAUUUAUCCUUUCAUUAAGUAUAACAUAAGAUUUUGUGAUAUCCACUUGUGUAAAUAUUUUAAAUUGAAGAUCAAAUUCAUUCAUUGCAUUCAUAUAGGGUCAAGGAGUGUAGCUGUAAAAAAAUCAUCAAAAUCAGAGUUAGAUUAACCGUUAAAUCAUGAUUUUGCGUUGACAAUCGUCGAAAAGUUUUGUCCUGUUACUUGAUCUUUGAAUGUUUGCUUUUUGCAAUUUUUGGCGUAUGCGAUCUCGAAGCAUAUACAAACAAGUUUGACGGUUGGAUCAUUGAAAUUAGUUUCAUAGGAUGCGUAUCUCAUCAAAACGAUGGAUUCACUAAUACUUAAGAGUUUAUUUAUACUUUCAUUAAGCAUAACAUAAGUUUUUGUGGUAUCCACUUGUAUAAAUAUUUUAAAUUGAAGAUUGAAUUCACUCAUUGUAUUCAUAUAGGGUCAAUGAGUGUAACUGUAAAAAAUCAUCAAAAUCGGAGUUAAAAUAACCGUUAAUAGUAAUUUUUCGUUUAUAAUCGUCGAAAAGUUUUGUCUCGUUACUUGAUCUCUGAAUGUUUGUUUUUUGCGAUUUUUGGCGUAUGCGAUCUAGCAUAUACAAACAAUUUUGACAGUUGGAUCGUUGAAAUUAGUUUCGUAGGAUGCGUAUCCCAUCAAAAUGAUAUAUUCACUAACAUUUAAAAGUUUAUUUAUACUUUCAUUAAGCAUAACAUAAGUUUUUGUGGUAUCCACUUGUGUAAAUAUUUUAAAUUGAAAAUCAAAUUCAAUCAUUGUAUUCAUAUAGGGUCAAGGAGUGUAGCUGUAAAAAAUCAUCAAAAUCGGAGUUAAAAUAACCGUUAAAUCGUGAUUUUUUCGUUUAUAACCGUCGAAAAGUUUUGUCCCGUUACUUGAUCUCUGAAUGUUUGUUUUUUACGAUUUUUGGCGUAUGCGAUCUCGAAGCAUGUACAAACAAGUUUGACGGUUUGAUCAUUGAAAUUAGUUUUGUAGAAUAUGUAUCUCAUCAAAACAAUAUAUUCAAUAACACUUGAGAGUUUAUUUAUCCUUUUAUUAAGUAUAACAUAAGAUUUUGUGGUAUCUACUUGUAUAAAUAUUUUAAAUUGAAGAUCGAAUUCCUUCAUUGUAUUCAUAUAGGGACAAGGAGUGUAGCUAUAAAAAAUCAUCAAAAUCGGAGUUAAAAUAACCGUUAGAUUGUGAAUUUUUGUUUAUAACCGUCGAAAAGUUUUGUCCCGUUACUUGAUCUCUGAAUGUUUGUUUUUUGUGAUUUUUGGCGUAUACGAUCUCGAAGCAUAUACAAACAAUUUUGACGGUUGCAUCGUUGAAAUUAGUUUUGUAGGAUGCGUAUCCCAUCAAAAUGAUAGAUUCACUAGCACUUAGAGUUUAUUUAUAUUUUCAUUAAGCAUAACAUAAGUUUUUGUGGUAUCCACUAGUGUAAAUAUUUUAAAUUGAAGAUCAAAUUCAAUCAUUGUAUUAAUAUAGGGUCAAUGAGUGUAGCUGUAAAAAAUCAUCAAAAUCGGAGUUAAAAUAACCGUUAAAUCGUGAUUUUUUGUUUAUAACCUUCGAAAAGUUUUGUCCCGCUUCUUGAUUUCUAAAUGUUUGUUUUUUACGAUUUUUGGCGUAUGCGAUCUCUGAAUUAUAAUUAUUAUAGUUUUUAGAGGUAUAAAAUUGUUGAAUUAAUAUAUAUAAUUAUUAUAGUAUUUUUUAGGGUUAUAAAAUUAAUAUUUUGCUUAUCGUGUUAACCACGUGUAUACCCGAACCAACCCGUUAUCUUAACAGGUGCUUAUCGGGUUACCCGAUAACGACCCGAUUCGUUAUCGUGUCGACCCGAACACCUGUAAAUUUCGUGUCAUGUCGGACCUGGUUAUCGGGUCGUGUCAGGAAUUGCCAGGCCUUGGGGCGUGUCAGAAUCUGUCAACCAAACUGAUCCAAUCCACACGUAGAAUGAGAAACUAAUAUUUGGCAUAGGCUAAACCCUAUCUUCCAGAUGGCUGACUUUUCAAACAAAAUAAAAGCCACACGUCCACACUUGAAUCUGUCAACCAAUUUGAUCAAAUCCACACGUAGAAUGAGAGGCUGAUAUGUGGCAUAGGGUAAAGCCAAUCUUUCAGAUGGCUGACCUUUCAAACAAGAUCAAAGUCACACGUCCACAUGUCCACACUUGAAUCUGUUAACCAAACUGAUCCAAUUCACACGUAGAAUAAGAGAUUAAUAUGUGGCAUAGGCUAAAGCCUAUCUUCAAGAUGGCUGACUUUUCAAACAAAAUAAAAGCCACACUUCCACACUUGAAUCUGUCGACCAAACUGAUCAAAUCCACACGUAGAAUGAGAGGCUGAUAUGUGGCAUAGGCUAAAGCCUAUCUUCCAGAUGGCUGACUUUUCAAACAAGAUUAAAGUCAUACGUCCACACCUCCACACUUGAAUCUGUUAACCAAAUUGAUCAAAUCCACACAUAGAACGAGAGGCUAAUCUGUGGCAUAUGCUAAAUCCUAUCUUCCAGAUUGCUGACUUUUCAAACAAGAUCAAAGCCACAUGUCUACACUUGAAUCUGUCAACCAAACUGAUCCAAUCCACACGUAGAAUGAGAGGCUGAUCUGUGGCAUAGGCUAAAGCCUAUCUUCCAGAUGGCUGACUUUUCAAACAAGAUUAAAGUCAUACGUCCACACCUCCACACUUGAAUCUGUUAACCAAAUUGAUCAAAUCCACACAUAGAACGAGAGGCUAAUCUGUGGCAUAUGCUAAAUCCUAUCUUCCAGAUUGCUGACUUUUCAAACAAGAUCAAAGCCACAUGUCUACACUUGAAUCUGUCAACCAAACUGAUCCAAUCCACACGUAGAAUGAGAGACUUAUAUGUGGCAUAGACUAAACUCUAUCUUCCAGAUGACUGACUUUUCAAACAAAAUAAAAGUCAUAUAUCCACACUUGAAUCUGUCAACCAAAUUGAUCAAAUCCACACGUAGAAUGAGAGGCUGAUAUGUGGCAUAGGCUAAAGUCUAUCUUCCAGAUUGCUGACUUUUCAAACAAGAUAAAAGCCACACGUCCAUACGUCCACACUUGAAUCUGUCAACCAAACUGAUCCAAUCCACACGUAGAUUAAGAGACUAAUAUGUGGCAUAGGCUAAAGCCUAUCUUCCAUAUGGCUGACUUUUCAAACAAAAUAAAAGCCACACGUCCACACUUGAAUUUGUCGACCAAACUGAUCAAAUCCACACGUAGAAUGAGAGGCUGAUUCGUGGCAUAGGCUAAAGCCUAUCUUCUAGAUGACUGACUUUUCAAACAAGAUAAAAGCCACACGUCCACACUUGAAUCUGCCAACCAAACUGAUCCAAUCCACACGUCCACACGCCACAUGUCACAUCCCCGCCCCGGCUCGACUCCGCCGUAGCACGAUAUUGUCCGUUUUAGACCCCGACCACCCCCUCACGAUUUUGUUUAUGGGAACUUACGCGAGAACUUCCCAGUGGGUCACCCAUCUUGGGAUUGCUCUUGCACCAUUCUCGCUUAACUUCAGAGUUCCUACGGAACCCGAAACUAAUAAGCGAUUGGCUCUGAUACAAAAUUGUCAGAUCCGGCCCGAGCUCCACCACACCCCGAGCUCGACUCCAAUGUAGCACGAUAUUGUCUGCUUUGGGCCCCGACCACGCCCUCACAGUUUUGUUUCUGGGAACUCACGCGAGAACUUCCUAGUGAGUGACCCAUCAUAGGAUUGCUCUCGAGCCAUUCUCGCUUGACUUCGGAGUUCCUACGGAACCCGAAGCCAGUGAGCUCCCAAAAUGCCUCGUGCUAGGUAGAGAUGUGAAUAUACAUAUGAGGCUUACAUGAUCCACACCCCUGGACGAUGUGGGAUCUUACACCACGCAUCCCAAAUCAAUUUGAAUUGUACUGUUUGCUUGGAGAUAUAAUUAUGUCCUUUAUUUUAUCAAACCCAUACUUGCAUAAGGAGUCAAAAUCUCCUACUGAUGCAUUCCACGUGGCAAGAAUCAAAAGGCAUAUACCAUUUGUAUUCAUGUGAUAAUCAUCCCAUCCUACUACAUCAUCUGAUGUCGUGCCUUAAUGCACAUCCAUAUUCCAUCAUAUUUUGGGGCUAUAAUUAUUCGAGUAUAUAUAAUUAUUAUAAUUAUUAUAGUUAAUUUAAUAUAUAUAUAUAUAUAUAUUAUAGUUUUUAGGGUAUAAAAUUGUUAAAUUAAUAUAUAUUAUUUUUAUAUUAUUUUUUUUAGGAUUAUAAAAUUAUAAAAUUAAUAUUCUGUUUAUCGUGUUUCGUGUUACCCACGUAUAUACCGUAUAUACCUGAACCAACCCGUUAUCUUAACAUGUGCUUAUCGGGUUACCCGAUAACGAUCCGAUUUGUUAUCGUAUCGAUUCGAACAUGUGUUAAUUUCGUGUCGUGUCGUGUCUGGUUAUCUGUCGUGUCAGGAAUUGCAGGCCUACCUCUCUGAGCAUCAAUCGCCGAAGGAUUUUCUAUCAUUUUCCCUCACUUUCUCCCGUUUUCUCUCUCGCCAAACACUCCAAUUCCUUAAGGAUCUGAGGUUUCUUCCACUUCAAAUCUCACCUUUUUUUUCUUUCCAAUUGGGCAAAAAGGCAUUGAUUUGAAACGAAUAUUAUAAUAGAAAGGAAAGCGCUUUGGGGGGAUUAGAAUUUCUGAAUCUAGGGUUCCGUGAUCUGUAUAUGCUUCUUGAUGACUAUGGAAAUCGUGGUGGAUGCGGCGUCGUUUGACGCCGAGCUGUUGCAGCUCAAUGAGGUGUCCCCUUUGGCCCUCAAAUCGAAUCCGAGCUACGUCGAGUCGCUGUUCGAGCAGUGGCUUUCGCUUCCCAAUACUAAUCGCCUGGUACUUGAAAACCCAAAUUUUUUUGUCUUCAAAAUUUGAAAUUUUUGGUGUUUUCGCAUUGUUUUGGUUGUGCAUCUUGUUGGGUUUCGAAGGAUUUAUGGGUGCAGUUUUUGGUUUUUGAAUUUUGGUGAGCUUGGUUUUUUGCUGUUGAAUUAAAAAUUUCUGUGUUUUUUCAUGUGUGUAUGUUUUGAGAUACACAUAAUUUGCAUGGAUUUGUAUAUGUGUUUGUUCUAGCCUGUGAAACCAGCAUGAGAGCUAAGAAAUAAUGAUGCUGAGUUGAUUUUAGUAUAUAUUGAUUUUCGUGCCCAUGGUAUUGAAUUUGUUCGGAAACGAUGACUUUGCGAUUAAUGAAGCAUUAAAGGGCACAUUUCAGUAUGGAAAAAGGGAUGAAAAUUGUAAAUUGUUAGCAAUGUUCGAAAUUACCUAAUGCCUUAAAGUAGUUACAAAUUUGUAAUUAGUUGUUGGAAAUGCUAAAGUUUAUAUAUUUUUUUUAAUUAGGAUACUGGAUACCUAUGAUUUACAUACUACAUAAUCUUUCAUCUUUUCUGAUGCAUGACAGUUUUUUCAUUUUCCCGACUCUAUGGUUGCAGGUGACACAACUGCUAACUGAAGCAAAGGCAGGUAGGCCUCUGAAUGUUCAGGGAAAUUCUUCUAGUCCACAUGCCACUGCAGGCAGUACUUUGCCUUCUAUGUUUCCAACCAAAGUGGGACAAAGGGAAGGCCCCACAGUCCCGGAAAGAGACUCCACCUCUUCCAUCCUCUCGGGUGCGUUCAUCAGCCAGAUCUGAUGACAGGGCAGCUUUCAAGGAUGAUGCAUUGAAUGAGUUACGAGCAAAACGUUUGAAGCUGCAUGACCCUGAGGCUCACCGCAAGUUGAGAUAUGCUUCUCGUAGUGAAGAUGAUGGAUCAUCAGGGGAUGAUGCAAUGAUUGACAGUGAUGAUGAAAGGUCACAGGGACUAACUUUUGAUGUUAUAAAGGAGAUUACCAUUCGAAGGUCGAAACUUGCAAGUGGUUUAUGGAGCCCUUCUUGGAAGAGUUAAUUGUGGUUUGCGUUGUAAGGGUUGGAAUUGGGAGGUCAAAGUCUGGGACUAUCAAUGGUGGGAGCAGUACGGGCAGGCAUAGCAGCAACUGCAGCAGCUUUGGAAGCUGCGGCUGGUGUAGGGAAGUUGAUUGAUACGAGUGCCCCUGUUGAUUUUGGAAGAGAGUCAAAUCUAAAGCAUAAUUUUGAGCUGCCAAUAUCAUUGGCUGCUCUUCAGAAGUUUGGAAAGCCACAGGGUUCUUGGCAAGAAAGCAGCGAAUAGAAGCAAUAGUUGAGUGCCAAGUCCCAGAGAAUAAUGGGAGGAGGCAUGCGCUGAUGCUUACAGUUGGCGACUACAUGAGAAGAAGAGGGAUUCUCUGAACAUAUUAAAAACCACCACAGAAACAAGAAAGUUCAAAAAGAGAGAACAUAUUAAAAACAGAUCAAGGCAUGCAAAAAAAUACAGACUCUAUCUGCAAACUAGCUGAUUAAGCCAGAAAGUUUCCUAGCUUACAUAGUCGUCGUCGUCUUGGUCCUCCUCCUCAUCAUCACCCUCAUCAUCAUCAUCCGCAACUUCUUGGUCCUGAUCAUCGUCUUAUUCCUCAUCCUCCUCAUUAAAAUCCUUCUCAUCAUCCUCAUCGUGUUGUCAUCAUCCUCAUCAAAAUCAUCAUCUUCAUAAUCCUCAUCAAAAUCAUCACCUUUGGUAGAAAUUUCUUCUAAGGCCCGUUCGUAAGGGAUAUAAUGGUAAUCAAAUAAUGAACCUUUGAAAGUCAUAAGUUUGUCGCAUACUAAACGUACCCCUAUUUUCUUCACCGGACAAUGUGCAAUAACAUGGACCAAAUCGCUUUCUCCCAAAUUGAACUCAGUUUCCGACAACGAUAAAUUUGCCAGCCAAAUCAUCUCUUCAAUGAGAAAAAGAUCUCCUAGUUCGACACAAAAACUAGUACCCUCGUUGAUGUAAUCACGAGGAACAAAAGCCAGGCACACAGCCAACGCUUUUGCAUUACAUCCAAUUUCCUUGGGCACUUCAAAAGAGACUUGGGUACCCUCGUUGACAUGAUUGAACCAAGUGGGAAUUUGUCUUCCUACAAAACUCAUGGUUCCACCUCCUGUCCAUCCCUAUACCAUGUGGAACAACAUUUGUGUUAGUACUACAUACAUAACACACAUAUUUGCGAUGGGGGAGGAGAGAGGAGUGGUGUGGAAGAGAGAGAGUACCUGUAUCGUGCUAUCCUUAAGAAGGAAAUCCAUGACAUUGUUGUGUGUUAUCAUACAAAGAUGGAGUCCCGAGUUUAACGCGCUAUCCAAGCCUGGAAACUCAAUGAGUUUCGGGGAAAAGAGACUCACCAUUGUUGACAUGCCUGAAAAAUCUGGCAUUCUUUCUAAUGCAGAGCAGUCAUCCAUUUGCAGGAAACCCAAACUUUUUGGUAAAUCUGUAAUCUCGACAAGGUUUCUGCAACCAUUUAAGGAUAGUAUACGAAGCUUGGAGAGGCCACUGAGGCUUGGAAGGCUCCCAAAAUUAUUGUCAUCUAGACUUAACUCCACUAAACAAGGUAGACUACUCCCAAUAUCAUUAGGCACUUCCUCUAUAUUGCUGUCCUCCAAAAUUACACUUGUCAAAGAGCGUAAACCUAGUAAGGAAGGUAGCUGCAAAGAACACUUCAAUUUACUCAAAGAUAAGCGCUCGAGCUUCUCUAGUCGUACGAUGGAAGGUGGUAGUUUUUUUAUGGCCGUUCCAUCUGCAUAAAGAGUGACCAAUGAUGCCAUUUCUCCCAAGUGCUCAGCCAAACUUUGGAAUCUUGAACAACCAUCGAGAACAAGAGUUUUAACAGAUUUCAACUUGUAGAAACUCCUCGGAAGAGCCUUAAGCGUUUCACAGUCUUUCAAAUUCACCAACACAAGACUCUUAAGAUCUCCGAUGGACUUGUGAACUUUAGCCAACCUCUUACAGUCUUUGAGUAUCAAUUUCUCAAGAUUUGGGAAUUUUGAAAAGUCUGGCGAUUGUGUUAGAUCGUGGGAGUGGCUGAGAUUUAGAAUCUUCAACUUAUCAAGCAACUGUUAAGAAAAAUCAAAUUUAAAUAAAAAAUUUAAAUCCAAAAAGAAGAUACAAAGAGCAUAAAAAUAAUUCCUAAUUUGGUUCAGGUUACGCAUUGUACUUACCCCAGAAUACUCACAAAGAACUUGUCUGAGGUUGCUGUACUGCAUGUCGAUAACAACUAUGUUUGGUUGACACAGUUCUAUUGGUAUGAACUCCAAUGGGAAUCCAUGCCAGCACAGCCAUUUUAAUUUUUUGGAAAGACAUUGGUAUCCCCCAGAGAGCCGAACGUAGUUUAGUUGGAGCAAUCUCAGUCUCUUCAUAUUUCUAAACACCUCAGUACUGAAACUAGUCUCUUCAAGACUCGGCAAAUUCAAAGCUAGACCUUCAAUUUUUUCAGUUCCCUGCUAUCCGAAAAAACAGACUCCAAAUGAGAGAAGGCUUAUCAUGAAAAAAAGUUAGAUUACUAACUUACAUAUGCUUACACGUUUAACAUAAAGUUUGAUUGGGAAAGUACUUACAGAUUUGUCUAUCAAUACAUCAUUUACAUCUUCGGGAUGCCACAAUCUACUCCGUUCUCCAGGAAAAUCGGGAUUUUCUGCAUGCACGAUAUCUCUGCCCAUAUCUCGAAGCAAAUCAUGCAUCAUAAUCUUGUUUUCUCUAUUAAUAGUCACUAGGCACCGGUUAAGGAGGACCUCGAUUCCUGUUGUUGAAUAAAAGCCACAACCAUCCAAGAUUUGCACGACAUCGUUCUUGUCCAUUCCGAUAAAAAAACAAGCUAUAUCGAGGAAUAUCCGCCUCUUGUAAUUAUCAUUUAGCCCGUCGUAGCUUAUUUUCAGUUGUGCCUGAAUUUCUCCACGAGGAAUCAUUUUCAAUUCAUCCAAUAUACUUCUCCAUUCAUCUACGCUUCGUUUGAAAAGAGUAGAUCCUAAAACUUCAAGAGCCAGCGGCAAUCCUCCACAGUAAUUGACAACUUCUCUUUCAAGCGCAAGAUAUUGACUAGGACAACUACUACUUCUGAAAGCAUGCCAACUUAGGAGCUCAAGAGCUUCUUCUCGGUCCAUUACUUUCGCCCGAUAUAUCUUAUCAACUGCAAAUUCUUUUAGCACACGUUCGUUUCUAGUUGUGAUGAUGAUUCUGCUCCCCGGGCCAAAAAAGUGGCAAUUUCCAACUAAUUCGCGUAACUGCUUCACAUCGUCUACAUCAUCAACUAUGACAAGUACCUUUAAGCGUCGAAAUCUUUCCCUUACCAAGGCGGUCCCUGCAACAACACUGCUUACCUUUGUCUUGGUUUGCAAGAUAUCGAAAAGAAGUUGUUUUUGCAAUUUUUCUAGUUUCUUUUCCCUCACUUUUUCAAGGAAACUUUUACCUUCAAACCUUUCAUAAAAUAUGUUAUAAAUGGCUUGAGCAAUCGUUGUUUUACCUAUUCCACCCAUGCCUGAAAUUCCAAUCACACGAACAUCAUCUGAAUCUCCGAUGCCUAAAUAAUUACUGAUAUCUAGCACUCGAGUAUCUAUUCCGACUUGAUAGGGCGCUACGUCAAAGUAUUUGUUGUUCAACUUCGUAGUGACGUCAUUGGUAAUCAUCCUGAUAAACUUUGCUUCAUGCCUGGCAUUAGUCAAGUUGAGAAGCAAAACGAAGAUUGUUAUACAACGAAAUUGAACUAAUUAAUACACAAAAUUAUUUAUCAUGACUAGAGAUUUUAAUUAAGACAAUUUUUUGAGGUGGUGUGUUUAAACUUAGCAAACAUCAAUUAAGAUUAAAAUAUAAAUUUCAAUAAGAAACACAAACAAAAAAACCAGCAUCCCUUCCCUCUGCAGCUAGUCGCCGGCGUCUUCCCAGCUGUGAUUAGUGUAGCCUUAACAGUUUAAGCUUUAUUGUAUGAUUUUAUUACAGAG